rnacentral:rRNA from 1 species
GACGAACGCUGGCGGCGUGCUUAACACAUGCAAGUCGAACGGAGUGGCGACCGGGUGAGUAACAGGUGGUGGACCUGCCCUGCACUCCGGGUUAAGCCUGGGAAACGGGGUCUAAUCCCGGAUAGUGGGGGUGGGGCCCGCGGCCUAUCAGCUUGUGGGUGGGGUAAGGGCCUACCAAGGCGGCGACGGGUAGCCGGCCUGAGAGGGUGGACGGCAACAUUGGGACUGAGACACGGCCCAGACUCCUACGGGAGGCAGCAGUGGGGAAUAUUGCACAAUGGGCGGAAGCCUGAUGCAGCGACGCCGCGUGGGGGAUGACGGCCUUCGGGUUGUAAACUCCUUUCACCAUCGACGCGGUAGAUGGAGAAGAAGCACCGGCUAACUACGUGCCAGCAGCCGCGGUAAUUC